UUUUAGAAUCCAAUCCGCCCAAUCAUUCAUCCGUUGGGAAGCUUGGGAAACUGUCCACAGAAGGGGCACCACUUCCAAACAGCUCAUUGUUCCCUUCCUCUCCUGCACUACAGAGAAAAAGGAAUAAUGUCUUAUCCUCACUACAUAGUGCACUUACAAAUGCAAAACCCUGUUGUUAAACAGGGAAGCUUGGGAAAAACCUGUCCAUCCCAAACAGGCUGAGUGGGUUUCCAGACGAAGAUGGAUGCACGAGCUCUGUUGUUUUGAAUACAGCAGGCUAUUAGAUGCACAUAAAUACCAAUGGCUUUGUGGAUUAAUAUUGUUUUGUGUUAUUUUUUUUAUGGCCACUGUGUUUUUAAAACGACGAAUCUUCGAGUAACCUGUUUGUGAGAUGCUUUACCAGUUAGGUUGUGCUAGUGAUCUAGCAUCGCCAUAUUGUCUGACCAGUUUAACCAGCACAUAGCACCUAAAAACGGUCUGGGCCAGAAUGGGAUUCGUGCUGGUCUAAAACUGGUACUUUAGCAGACUAGACACAUACAAAGAAAAUGCUCUAAAAGGGCCCCGGCCUUAGGAGACCUCCAUGAGACCUGGCCAGUAAAGAACAAUGUUACCCUCAUAGAUCAGAGGCUCCAAAUAGUCCAAGCACCACUACAUUUUUUUUAUGUGGAAAAUUAUGUGCAUUUUUGUUCAUUUCGCUAUUUUUAAAUGAUCGGAAAUCAUGCACAAUUGAAAUGUUAUUGAAUUGUACAGCAGCUUGGUUAUGCAAUGACAUGCUUUUUUUCUUGAGUACUAUAUGCAAUUUAUUAUCAAGUGGCUACAGGUUACCAAAUGCAAAUCAGAACAUGUUUAUCAAGGUUUUUUCACACACCUUAUCCAGGUCAAGAUCAUGAACCUAUCAGAGGAACACUGAGUCUGAGGUGGGAACACACACCAGUCCAUCAUGACAUCCAGAAAAUCUGCAGCUGGACUUGGGAUCAAUGAGGCAGCAACACUACAUGCUGAAGGAAGAUAGUGUUUUUAAUACAGUAUAGUUCUUAAAAUAAAAAAGUAAAGUUUUGCUGGUCUAAGGAAAGAAAAGAAAACAUGCACACGUAUGAGCAUUUUCCAUUUUGAAUAUUUAAUGGCUGGUGAUAGAAGUGUCUCACAUCUUAAUGUUAACACUUUUUAAUUAAAAUUAUCUAUUCAAAGAAUUUCA